rnacentral:rRNA from 1 species
CCCUUAGAUGUUCUGGGCCGCCCGCGCGCUACACUGAUGCGUUCAACAAGUUUCCUUGGCCGAGAGGCCUGGGCAAUCUUCUUAAUAUGUAUCGUGAUAGGGAUAGAUUAUUGCAAUUAUUAAUCUUGAACGAGGAAUUCCUAGUAAACGCAGAUCAUCAAUCUGCAUUGAUUACGUCCCUGCCCUUUGUACACACCGCCCGUCGCACCUACCGAUUGGAUGUUCCGGUGAAGCCUCGGGAUGAGGACUGGUGCCUUUAUUGGCAUGAGUUGUUCAGAACUUGUCUAAACCUUAUCAUCUAGAGGAAGGUGAAGUCGUAACA